AUGAAAUCCUGGCUUCCAGCUGCAAAGCUCUUACUGACCUCAGUUAAAAACAGGAUUUUACCUAGUGGCAGUCAUUUAGCACCUUUGAAAAUUGAGGAUUUAACAAGCAACCAAAGGUCAGAGCAGAAAUCAAUGGCAGAAAAAGAACUAUACCUCUGGAGGGGUCUAACUCCCAGUACAGCUCUGGAAGCACAAGCUCUUUUAUCCUGCAGUGUGAGGGAAUUUCAACAUUCUGGGAAGAUAAAUGUCUCCAGGCAGGAGGAAGAAAAAAAAUUAUUUAAUUGGAUAACAACAGCAAGAAGAGAAGAAAAGCAAGAGCCAAGCAAUGUUUUACUCUCAUGGUGCCAAACUGUGGAGUGCAGAAGUCCUUGA
rnacentral:lncRNA from 1 species